ACUGAAAACACAGCGAACACACAGCCACUAAGUGCCACUCUCAACACAAAAACCUGUUAUCCAGCACAUGGGACUCAUGAUCAGACCAAAGUUUUUGCAUUUGAAAGCAAACAAAUGCGUAAAACCUCUUCGUGUUUUUUGCAUAGUCCUUCCUUAUCUGUUGCUGAAGGGAAGUUCCUGUAGGAGUUAUCUGCUGUUACUUGGUGGUUCUGCAUGCUGGAGGUUCCUUCCCUCUCGGGUAUGAAGUUUCUUUAAACUUUGACCUGUUGAGUCAAAAGAAUGCUCCAGAGGUACUGGCCCUUUGACCUCACAAGAAAGGAAGAUUUUUCUCAUCUGAGGAAGCUAUCAUGAAGCUUUGCAGAUUGUGUAGGAGGAGGCUUUCCUCAAGGAAGGCCGAGCUACUGCACAGUGAAUUUUGCCUGUCAGCUAAAGCCUUCGUAUUAACUGCAUUUUCCUGGAGAACCAGACACAUGUUUUGGUAAACCUAGCAAUGGAAUGCAAACUUAUUGAUAAGCACGGACGGACAUCUCGCGAGAGGGGCGACGAGAAACAAGAGACCAAGAAACUGACCAACUGUGUAUAACAUUCCAUUCACGUGAAUACUUCAUAUAAAAGUGGGAGAUCACGAGGAUCUCGUGUGCUUUUCCCUUUUCCCUUUUCCCUUCUGCUUAUGGCCGACAUUAGAAGAGGACCUUACUAGUCGUCCCUGCGAACUGAGGCCUAGUGAGAGCCUGAAUCCAGCUCCGAUUGGCUGCAGAGUCUAAUCCAGGACUUUGGUUGCCGGCUCUGCAGUUGCUGAGACUUUCAAGAUUGGUUUUGUAUAUUCUGUAUUAUUUUCUCUAUUCUUAUUAGUAGCAUUAGUAAAACAUCUUUAAUUUUUUCCAA